rnacentral:rRNA from 1 species
UACGGAGGGUGCAAGCGUUAUCCGGAUUUAUUGGGUUUAAAGGGUGCGUAGGCGGUGAAAUAAGUCAGUGGUGAAAAGCUGCAGCUCAACUGUAGUCCUGCCAUUGAAACUGUUUUACUUGAGUAACCAUGAGGUAGGCGGAAUGUGUAGUGUAGCGGUGAAAUGCUUAGAUAUUACACAGAACACCGAUUGCGUAGGCAGCUUACUAGCGGUUUACUGACGCUGAUGCACGAAAGCGUGGGGAUCAAACAGGAUUAGAUACCCUGGUAGUCCACGCCGUAAACGAUGAUAACUCGCUGUUGGCGAUACACAGUCAGCGGCUUAGCGAAAGCGUUAAGUUAUCCACCUGGGGAGUACGCUCGCAAGAGUG